CCUUGCCAUGAAGUAUGGUGGUGUCUAGCACU
rnacentral:piRNA from 1 species